AAAGCGACUUGUCGACCUUUCCAAAUAACCCUUCACAUCUUUUAACUAUAUGGGUGGAUUUCUUCCUAUUUGCCUCAUGUGAUACAUGGAAAAGAACUAGUUUUCCAGUUUCGUCAUCCUAUUCUUGUUUCUUUACCUGAAUUCUGUUUGAUGUUAUAAACAGUCUGGUGCGCGUGUUCAGUUUCAUUGUUCACAAGCUACAAUAAAACUGAUGGAUUCAUGAAUGUAUUAUUUAUGAUUUUUCAUUGAAAGCCUUACAGUGUCUUCUGAAGCUUUAUUUUCAGUUAGCUCCUUUAGUUUUUCUUGUACCAGUGCCAUCUCCACUUCAAUUUCCAAAAUAGAGCAUCUAUCAUGGGCCUUCACUGCCGAAAGCGGUUGCUCUAGUAUGACUCCUCCAUUAUCUGGCAUUACAUAAGCUGAGAUACAAGAGAACAUUUAGCUCAGUCUUAAAAAUUCAUUGAUCAUGGAUCUAGUAAGAAUGAUGAAGUUUCAAAUCAGAUUAAUAUCCAGAUUCUUAACAUUAUAAGAGAACUCAAUUUUGUUAAGUAUUUGUAUCGGUAUAACAACUAUCACUACUCUUGAUAUCUUAUAUUUUCCUCUUUCUGUUGUCAAUAGACCUAAAAUUUUGCUCAUUAACUAUUUUAUCUGGUGUUUCCUGGUAGAUUAGAUUCUUCCUUUUGCUAGUACUCAUCAGAAUUCUAUUCCACUUUCUGCAGAAAAUGGUUUAUCUCUGCUUUUAGAACAUGGGUGGCCUUUGUCUACAAUGCAGGGUAUAUGUGUACAGCAAGCAAUCACUCUACAAUCCUAUUGAAAAUAAGUUGUUCACUGCACAUACAAUAUGCAGAAGAAAUUUCAGGGAUUUACAUUUCCCUCUGAUCAUAAAAGUAUCGAGGAGCAGAAAUUAGUCAUCAUAGUAUUUAUUACCUUUCAAUAAAGGCUGUGUUGGCCGCUAGAUGGACAAUGACAUUUAUUUCGUCCCAGAGGUUUUCUUUAAGUUUUCUAUCGUAUACUCCCAAAUCUUCAAUGGAAAUGUCUCCUGCAAUAGGGCAAACUUUGUCCCAGAAGAAUGAAGGGAAGUUCCCUUGGUAUUUCUCUACAAGAACUUUGAAUACUUCUUUUUGCAUUACCUACAAAUAAGAUGCAUUAAAACGCAGAUGACACACUGCAGAAAGAUUUGCAACAACAAUGAUGGUUGGAUGGCUGGUAAGGCGUCGAAGCACAGAGUACUAAUUGGCUAAGCUGCAAAUCAGACUAAUAUUUCGAGAGCUUGCAAAGUAUGACGCUAACCUCGGUUUCCACACGGUGCUUCGCAGAUAUGCUAUCAUUAGCACGCACCAACAGAUCAGCUGGAGCUGCGAAAAUUGAAGUGGAAAGCAAGACAUGCGGUGUUUGUUAUUUUUUUGCUACAUUUUGAACAAGUAUUUUUGGUUAGAACUUAUGUUUGAAAUUUAAUUUGAAU